GAUGAACGCUGGCGGCGUGCCUAAUACAUGCAAGUCGAGCGAACAGACGAGGAGCUUGCUCCUCUGACGUUAGCGGCGGACGGGUGAGUAACACGUGGAUAACCUACCUAUAAGACUGGGAUAACUUCGGGAAACCGGAGCUAAUACCGGAUAAUAUAUUGAACCGCAUGGUUCAAUAGUGAAAGACGGUUUUGCUGUCACUUAUAGAUGGAUCCGCGCCGCAUUAGCUAGUUGGUAAGGUAACGGCUUACCAAGGCAACGAUGCGUAGCCGACCUGAGAGGGUGAUCGGCCACACUGGAACUGAGACACGGUCAAGACUCCUACGGGAGGCAGCAGUAGGGAAUCUUCCGCAAUGGGCGAAAGCCUGACGGAGCAACGCCGCGUGAUUGAUGAAGGUCUUCGGAUCGUAAAACUCUGUUAUUAGGGAAGAACAAAUGUGUAAGUAACUAUGCACGUCUUGACGGUACCUAAUCAGAAAGCCACGGCUAACUACGUG
rnacentral:rRNA from 1 species